UUUCGUCUCGUACCCGCGACUGUAAACACUGCGGAGGGGAGGAGUGCCGGAAAUCCACGGUUUUCCGAGGACAAAAGACUCGAAACAAAUUACUCAACCGAUUUUCGUCCAACAGAAUUUUAACAAAUUAUCAUACGUAAUUAUUGCUUCCACUGAUAAUUCUUGACUUUUAAUAGAUUGGGGAGAUCAUUACAAUAUUUCUAGGUUAAACUAGUUAUACGUAUAGAGAUAAGAGGAAAAAAAAAGAUAAAAAGAACACGUACAUCCAUACUUUGUACACUCUUUUAAUUUUACUAAUAUAAGCAGCAGUUCUCUCAGUUAUAUUCGAACACCUUGUAUAAUGGCCUAUUUGCCAGCGAAAAACUAGUUGCGAGUGAAAUGACAUUUUAAAAGAGGUAUCUGUGCACGUAACAUUCGCAUAUUACGUGGAAUUGGUUAUGUACUUACAACGUUACAUAUACUUUGGUGACUUGUAACUCGUGCAACCGAUUGUUGCCAUAUCAUUUAUCGUAAUUGUGAGGAUUAUGUGUUGAGUUUUCUAACGCGAGGUUGUGCUUUCGAUCCAUUUACGAAAACGCUUACGUAAUACUCGUGAAGAUUUUGUCGAUAAGACAGUUCGCACAAUGUCUCUUUCUUUUUUUCUCUCUCGUGCCAAUUCGACGAGGGUUUUCUUUUCAAUGUUCCCUCCCCCGCCUUAUUUUUUUCAACACGUUCACCACCCUUCAAAGCUCACUCACAAAGUUUUCAUCAUAGAAUGAUAAUUUCAUUUGAAGACACAGGAAAUUAAAUUUAUUGCCUUUAAAUUUCUCACACAAGUGCGUAAGAAUCUGCAGUGGGGUAAAUAGGACAUUGGGUUUUUGAUUUUUGAAAACAGAGAUCUCAGCCGGGCGAGGGACACUUCAUACAAUUGUAAAAUUUGAUGAACGUCACGCACUUUCGACAAUGAGAAAAUCAUCCUUGUGAAGGAACAACCAUUUUAGAAGGCCGCGGUGUUUCAUCACAAGUAUAAAUAGGAAGCUGGAAUUAUAUUUCCGAUAACGCGACGCACGUACAUUCAAUCGAACUUGUCUAUCAAUUUACCCCGUCAAUCAUUUGUCGUUUGUAUGACACAGAACAAAGAAUCUCACAAUGAAAAAAUUAGUAGAAACAGAAGCUUUUUAUUUUAUAAACAGUGUGAAUAUACUACAAACUACAAACUACAGGCAAAUGCUAACAAAAAUCGUCGUAUCGAACGGCCUAAUCUAAAUGGAGAAACAAAAGGAAUUCAUACACAGUCAUCGAUUCAGCGGUGAUGAUAUCACUGAAUACGCAAAUGUGAAUACUUGGAUAAUCGAUUUGUUAAAAGUGAAAGAAAGAA